GCAAGGGAUCAUGGAAUACAAGUUCUACAACUUAGCUUUACUCUUAGCUGAUGGUUCUGUUGCACAUCCUCAUGGUCUAAUAGAAAAUUUGCCUGUCAAGAUUGGAAAUGUUGAUAUACCUACAGAUUUUGUGGUAUUGGACGUAGAUGAAGAAGGCAAGGAUCCCCUGAUCCUAGGCAAACCAUUCUUAGCUUCUGCUGGAGCAGUCAUAGAUGUCAGGAAUGGAAAAAUUAAUCUGAACCUUGAAAAAGGCAUCAAGAUGAAGUUUGACAUCAGAAAAGCUUCAGGGAAAUCAACAACAGGAGGUUAGAAUUUUGGGAUUCAGGACAUGGAUGUUGAUGAAGAAACAGAAGCUGGAACCUCACCAAGAGUUAACUAUACUUCUCAACUCAGCAAGCGGAAGAGAACUUUUGACCACAAGAAGAGAGCAAUAUAAGGGUUAGCUCAAACUGAAGAUCCUACAAAAGAUGACUCGUAUGAGAUAAGAAA
rnacentral:sRNA from 1 species